AAUGAUAUCAAUCAAGAUUGGAAAUCAUCAUUAUUGAAGAUUGAUCUCAAGUGCUUUUUAGAAGUCCAUGUGAUCUACUCUCAUUACCACAUAAUCUAAAGGUCUUCUCUCUACAUACCAAAACCACCAAAGUCAAUUCUCCACCAUUUUUCUACUAUAGGUGAUACCCUAAUACUCUCUCUAAUAUUGUCAUUUAUAAUCUUAUCAUGUCUAUUCUUGU
rnacentral:lncRNA from 1 species